rnacentral:rRNA from 1 species
GGAUCCAGACUUUGUUUAUGGCUCAGGAUGAACGCUAGCUACAGGCUUAACACAUGCAAGUCGAGGGGCAGCGGGAUUGAAGCUUGCUUCAAUUGCCGGCGACCGGCGCACGGGUGAGUAACGCGUAUCCAACCUUCCGUACACUCAGGGAUAGCCUUUCGAAAGAAAGAUUAAUACCUGAUGGUAUGAUGAGAUUGCAUGAUAGCAUCAUUAAAGAUUUAUCGGUGUACGAUGGGGAUGCGUUCCAUUAGGUAGUAGGCGGGGUAACGGCCCACCUAGCCAACGAUGGAUAGGGGUUCUGAGAGGAAGGUCCCCCACAUUGGAACUGAGACACGGUCCAAACUCCUACGGGAGGCAGCAGUGAGGAAUAUUGGUCAAUGGACGAGAGUCUGAACCAGCCAAGUAGCGUGAAGGAUGAAGGUCCUACGGAUUGUAAACUUCUUUUAUAAGGGAAUAAACCCUCCCACGUGUGGGAGCUUGUAUGUACCUUAUGAAUAAGCAUCGGCUAACUCCGUGCCAGCAGCCGCGGUAAUACGGAGGAUGCGAGCGUUAUCCGGAUUUAUUGGGUUUAAAGGGAGCGCAGACGGGUCGUUAAGUCAGCUGUGAAAGUUUGGGGCUCAACCUUAAAAUUGCAGUUGAUACUGGCGUCCUUGAGUGCGGUUGAGGUGUGCGGAAUUCGUGGUGUAGCGGUGAAAUGCUUAGAUAUCACGAAGAACUCCGAUUGCGAAGGCAGCACACUAAUCCGUAACUGACGUUCAUGCUCGAAAGUGUGGGUAUCAAACAGGAUUAGAUACCCUGGUAGUCCACACGGUAAACGAUGGAUACUCGCUGUUGGCGAUAUACUGUCAGCGGCUUAGCGAAAGCGUUAAGUAUCCCACCUGGGGAGUACGCCGGCAACGGUGCAACU